rnacentral:tRNA from 1 species
GCGAGUAUAGCUCAGCGGUAGAGCACGUGCUUAGCAUGCACGAGGUCCUGGACUCAAUCCCCAGUAGCUCCA